CUUGGUGAUUUCACUCUGGUCCUGGGUCUAAUUCUUAGCUUUUCAGCUCAAAAGCUUGAUAGUCUCAGUGUCCAUGUUGAUUAAACUAGGGGAUGCUGACUCACGCCUACAGACCUCAGAUGAGGCAGAUGAUAAAAUCAGAAUGCGAAUUUAUUAAUUUACAUCGUGGCAUGUAACCGGUGAGUGGAUUGGAUCCUCACGUCGGCCUGAGCAGUACAUUCUCUCCCUGUAGCUGGACCAAGUCCACAUCGGAUCCCAAGGAAGCCCAGGAUAUUCUUUCCGCUUAGCUCACUGGCUGCAGCAAUCUUCCUCCCUCAGCUCUGAGUACCUCGCCAUGGC
rnacentral:lncRNA from 1 species